UACAGAGGUCUCGAGCGUUAGGCGGAAUCACUGGGCUUAAAGCGUGUGUAGGUGGAUCGUUAAGUACCUUGUGAAAUCCCACGGCUUAACCGUGGAACUGCUUGGUAUACUGGCGGUCUUGAGCCAGCUAGGGGCUACCGGAACAAAUGGUGGAGCGGUGAAAUGCGUAGAUAUCGCUUGGAACGCCAAUGGUGAAAACAGCAGGCUGGGGGUGUGCUGACGCUGAGACGCGAAAGCCAGGGGAGCGAACGGG
rnacentral:rRNA from 1 species